rnacentral:rRNA from 1 species
CCUACGGGAGGCAGCAGUGGGGAAUCUUGCGCAAUGGGCGAAAGCCUGACGCAGCCAUGCCGCGUGAAUGAUGAAGGUCUUAGGAUUGUAAAAUUCUUUCACCGAGGACGAUAAUGACGGUACUCGGAGAAGAAGUCCCGGCUAACUUCGUGCCAGCAGCCGCGGUAAUACGAAGGGGGCUAGCGUUGCUCGGAAUUACUGGGCGUAAAGGGAGCGUAGGCGGAUAGUUUAGUCAGAGGUGAAAGCCCAGGGCUCAACCUUGGAAUUGCCUUUGAUACUGGCUAUCUUGAGUACGGAAGAGGUAUGUGGAACUCCGAGUGUAGAGGUGAAAUUCGUAGAUAUUCGGAAGAACACCAGUGGCGAAGGCGACAUACUGGUCCGUUACUGACGCUGAGGCUCGAAAGCGUGGGGAGCAAACAGGAUUAGAUACCCUGGUAGUCCACGCUGUAAACGAUGAGUGCUAGUUGUCGGCAUGCAUGCAUGUCGGUGACGCAGCUACGACAUUAAGACACUCCGCCGUCGGGAGGUACGGUCGCGAAGAAUUAAACUAACGAAAGAAGUAGACGGACCGACGGACGACGACGAGGAGAGG